AGCUGUGUGACCCUGGGCAAGUCACUUAACCCAAACUGCCUUGCCAAAAAAAAAAAAAGGGAAAUGGCUAACCCUGGAGGAAGCAUGUUCCCCCUCACAUUGUGGUCUGCAGGCAAAGGUUGAUUUGCAAAACAUACUAUUUGGAGGGGGGAGCAUUUUUCCUUUCCUAGGUAUAGGUUGGUCUAGAUCAGGCUUCUUAAACUGUGGUUGCCACCUCACAUGGGUCAUGAAAAAUUUGGCAAGAGCAAAAGGUUUCUGAACCUUUCUGAACACUGAAGCCUUGGUUCUGAACACAAAGCAGGUGCACUUUGCAUUUGGCAAAAAGGGGUUGUGAGUGGAAAAAGUUUAAGAAGUCCUGGUGUAGAUGACCUCUAAGGUCUCUUUUAAUUUUCAGAUUCUAUGAAACCCUAAGAAUUUGUUGUGUAUGAUGCUUGAGCAGUCUACAGAGCUUAGAUAAGCACUCUCCUAAAGGGAUAUAGGUCAGCAAUAGUGUCCUAGAAUCAGAAAACGGACAGGGACGUUAGAGAUCCCCUCUUGUCCAAUUAGGAAACUGGGGCCUGCAGGAGGGAAGCAAUUGAACAUGCUCCACAGUUUUGUUUUUUAAAUGAAAGAGCUGGCCUAGAGCUGAAUUUGCCUUGAAAAUCCAAAUUUAUCCCAGCUCUUUACCAGAAACUGGUUUAGAAGCUUAUGCAUGAUAAAUCGGUCCCUACAGGAUACUGUCUUCUUUUAUUCUAGAGAUCAGUGGGCCAGCUUAAGCGGUCACUUAUUCCUGAUGUAGUACACAGAAGAAAGAGCAACAGAUUUGGGGUUCAAAUCAUAGCCUCUAUUUAGUACCUGUAUGGUUUGGGGGGAAAGUCAAACACUUGGGCUUCUCAUCUUCAAAAUAAGGGAGCUGACCAGAGGACCUUAGAUUCCUUCCUGCUCCAAAUCCUAUAUAUGCACCCAAGCUUUAAUCUCAAUCAACAAAUUUUAAAAGAUGCAGGCUUGAGUGACACUUUUUGUUCUUAUGAAUAAUUAUAGCAUGUGAAGUUGGUCAUCAUUAUCUAAUUUACAACCCUUUUUUGGUCCUUCUUGGGCACCAAAAUUAGAUAAUGUUAAAUAGGAUUUCAAACACAUUCUGCCUGAAAGAGGGCCAACAUCCCUUCAAGAAAGUAUAUGAUCCUUAUAAAUUUCCCCUGAGGAUUUCAUAACACACAUAAAUAACUACAAUACAAAAUAAUGCCUAUCUGAGUACCAAAGUAAAAACAAAAUGUUGUGUGUGAGGUCUGAAAGCAGUAGAAGUUGUUAUUACUGGGAGAUUAAGGAAGGCUUCGUGGAGGAGGCAGUAUUUGAAUUGAACUAGGAAAAGUUUCCAGGAAUAUGAAACAGGGUAAACAAUAGCAUGGAGGCAAGAAAAAGGGGAUGUGUACAAUGGUAAAGGAGUAGUUUGGUUUGACAGUAGAGAACCAGACAAGGGCAAGGCUGUUUGUGGUACCAAAUUCGCAGGGGCCUUGAAUCCCAGGCAAAGAUCUUUGAAUUUUCCUUAGUCUGCACUAGGAAAACAGUGGAGGAGUCUGAGAAUAGGACCAAAUCUCUUUAUAAAAUUAACCUGGGGGCAGCUAGGUUUUGGGGGCUAUUUAAAAUUGUAAAAGCAUUUCCAAAUUUCCUGUGUCUGGGGAGGGUUUAAUCAUUUGGUCAACACAGUUCACAAUCCAGAGCAGCAUUAUCCAAACUGAUACUGGUCACCUGAAUUAGGAGUACACAUACCUGCAAGAAGAAAACUACCUCCCUCUAAGGAAUAAGUGUACCUUGAAAAUCUAAACCUUAUUCUAAGAAAAGCCACACUGCUUAAUAAGUACUAGAAGAAUGAAGCAUUUGCUAGGCCACACUCACAGUUAAGAUUACUUUGCAUGACCUAAUUUAAUCCCAAAACAAGAAGUCAAUGAAUAAAUGUGACCAACGUGAGACAAAAUACUUAAUGAGCAUUGCUACCAUGAGUUUGAUUACCUAUUACAUACACACACACACACACACACACACACACACACACACACA